AGUCGAGGGGUAGAGGANCUUGCUUCCUUGAGACCGGCGCACGGGUGCGUAACGCGUAUACAAUCUACCUUUUACAGAGGGAUAGCCCAGAGAAAUUUGGAUUAAUACCUCAUAGUAUUUUCGAAUCGCAUGGUUUGAUUAUUAAAGUUCCAACGGUAAAAGAUGAGUAUGCGUCCCAUUAGCUAGAUGGUAAGGUAACGGCUUACCAUGGCAAUGAUGGGUAGGGGUCCUGAGAGGGAGAUCCCCCACACUGGUACUGAGACACGGACCAGACUCCUACGGGAGGCAGCAGUGAGGAAUAUUGGACAAUGGACGCAAGCCUGAUCCAGCCAUGCCGCGUGCAGGAAGACGGUCCUAUGGAUUGUAAACUGCUUUUAUACAGGAAGAAACACUCCCUCGUGAGGGAACUUGACGGUACUGUAUGAAUAAGCAUCGGCUAACUCCGUGCCAGCAGCCGCGGUAAUACGGAGGAUGCAAGCGUUAUCCGGAAUCAUUGGGUUUAAAGGGUCCGUAGGCGGUUUAAUAAGUCAGUGGUGAAAGCCCAUCGCUCAACGAUGGAACGGCCAUUGAUACUGUUAAACUUGAAUUAUUAGGAAGUAACUAGAAUAUGUAGUGUAGCGGUGAAAUGCUUAGAGAUUACAUGGAAUACCAAUUGCGAAGGCAGGUUACUACUAAUAUAUUGACGCUGAUGGACGAAAGCGUGGGGAGCGAACAGGAUUAGAUACCCUGGUAGUCCACGCCGUAAACGAUGGAUACUAGCUGUUCGGAGCAAUCUGAGUGGCUAAGCGAAAGUGAUAAGUAUCCCACCUGGGGAGUACGUUCGCAAGAAUGAANCUCAAAGGAAUUGACGGGGGCCCGCACAAGCGGUGGNNCAUGUGGUUUAAUUCGAUGAUACGCGAGGAANC
rnacentral:rRNA from 1 species